UUGACCUCGGAUCAGGUAGGGAUACCCGCUGAACUUAAGCAUAUCAAUAAGCGGAGGAAAAGAAACCAACAGGGAUUGCCCUAGUAACGGCGAGUGAAGCGGCAACAGCUCAAAUUUGAAAGCUAGCCUUCGGGUUCGCAUUGUAAUUUGUAGAGGAUACUUUGGGUAAAACGCCAGUCUAAGUUCCUUGGAACAGGACGUCAUAGAGGGUGAGAAUCCCGUAUGUGACUGGAAACGUUGACCUAUGUAAAGUUCCUUCGACGAGUCGAGUUGUUUGGGAAUGCAGCUCUAAAUGGGAGGUAAAUUUCUUCUAAAGCUAAAUAUUGGCGAGAGACCGAUAGCGCACAAGUAGAGUGAUCGAAAGAUGAAAAGCACUUUGGAAAGAGAGUUAAAAAGCACGUGAAAUUGUUGAAAGGGAAGCGCUUGCAAUCAGACUUGUUUAAACUGUUCGGCCGGUCUUCUGACCGGUUUACUCAGUUUGGACAGGCCAGCAUCAGUUUCGGCGGCCGGAUAAAGGCUCUGGGAAUGUGGCCUCCACUUCGGUGGAGGUGUUAUAGCCCAGUGUGUAAUACGGCCAGCCGGGACUGAGGUCCGCGCUUCGGCUAGGAUGCUGGCGUAAUGGUUGUAAGCGACCCGUCUUGAAACACGGACCAAGGAGUCUAACAUCUAUGCGAGUGUUCGGGUGUCAAACCCCUGCGCGUAAUGAAAGUGAACGGAGGUGAGAACCGCAAGGUGCAUCAUCGACCGAUCCUGAUGUCUUCGGAUGGAUUUGAGUAAGAGCAUAGCUGUUGGGACCCGAAAGAUGGUGAACUAUGCCUGAAUAGGGUGAAGCCAGAGGAAACUCUGGUGGAGGCUCGCAGCGGUUCUGACGUGCAAAUCGAUCGUCAAAUUUGGGUAUAGGGGCGAAAGACUAAUCGAACCAUCUAGUAGCUGGUU
rnacentral:rRNA from 1 species